AUGAGGGCAUCACCCUGGUGGACGCUUGCAAUGGCCUCCUUCUCUACCGCCGUUACAACAGCAGCAGGCAUGAUUACCAUUUUGUUGUGUGCAAUCCCGCCACCGGGAGGAGCCUGGAUUCAUAGAGACAGUGGGAUAGUUGAGAAAGCUACCCUGUUCAGGAGUAAAUGUGUCUUUGUCGGCGGUAUGCUGUACAUCAUGGGUAACCUGGAGGACAUCAACGGCGAGUAUGUGCUGGUGGGGGUGGACAUGGAGGGGAAAGUGUGGAAGACUAUCCGUGUGCCGUAUUGUUCAAAAUUUGGUACUAUUGGAUUGUCGCAGGGGUGCUUACACUAUGCUAUAGCUCCUCUCAAUAAUAACAAUGAAAUCCUAGUUUCUGAGAUAGCACUCUGGUGCCUCAAGGAUUGUGACAGUAAACAAUGGGUCCUGAAGCAUACUGCCAGCAUCGAUACACUUAUCAGCAUGACUUGA
rnacentral:rRNA from 1 species